GGAGGGGGCUAGCGUUGUUCGGAAUGACUGGGCGUAAAGGGCGCGUAGGCGGCUUAUCAAGUCAGGUGUGAAAGCCUUGGGCUUAACCCAAGAAUUGCGCUUGAUACUGAUAAGCUAGAGGAUGAUAGAGGAAAGCGGAAUUCCUAGUGUAGAGGUGAAAUUCGUAGAUAUUAGGAAGAACACCAGAGGCGAAGGCGGCUUUCUGGAUCAUAUCUGACGCUGAGGCGCGAAAGCGUGGGGAGCAAACAGGAUUAGAUACCCUGGUAGUCCACGCCGUAAACGAUGAGUGCUAGACGUUAGGGCGCAAGCUUUAGUGUCACAGCUAACGCGUUAAGCACUCCGCCUGGGGAGUACGGUCGCAAGAUU
rnacentral:rRNA from 1 species